CCUACCUCUGAAUCUGGGAUAACAUUGCGAAAGCGAUGCUAAUACCGGAUAAUAUCUCAGAAGCCUCGGUUUUUGAGAUCUAAGGUGGCCUCUACAUGUAAGCUACCGUUUGGAGAUGAGCCCGCGUACCAUUAGCUUGUUGGUAGGGUAAUAGCCUACAAGGCGACGAUGGUUAGCUGGUCUGAGAGGAUGAUCAGCCACACUGGAACUGACACACGGUCCAGACUCCUACGGGAGGCAGCAGUGAGGAAUUUUGCGCAAUGGGGGAAACCCUGACGCAGCAACGCCGCGUGAGUGAUGAAGGCCUUCGGGUCGUAAAGCUCUGUCAAGUGAGAAGAACCUGCUUAGUGUUAAUACCAUUAGGCACUGACGGUACCACUGAAGGAAGCACCGGCUAACUCCGUGCCAGCAGCCGCGGUAAUACGGAGGGUGCAAGCGUUAUUCGGAAUUAUUGGGCGUAAAGGGCGCGUAGGCGGUCCCUUAAGUCAGGUGUGAAAGCCCGGGGCUUAACCCCGGAAGUGCAUUUGAAACUAAGGGACUUGAGUAUGGGAGAGGGAAGUGGAAUUCCUGGUGUAGAGGUGAAAUUCGUAGAUAUCAGGAGGAACACCGGUGGCGAAGGCGACUUCCUGGACCAAUACUGACGCUAAGGCGCGAAGGCGUGGGGAGCAAACAGGACUAGAUACCCUGGUAGUCCACGCAGUAAACGGUGAACACUAGGUGUAGCGGGUAUUGACCCCUGCUGUGCCGCAGCUAACGCAUUAAGUGUUCCGCCUGGGAAGUACGACCGCAAGGUUAAAACUCAAAGGAAUUGACGGGGGCCCGCACAAGCGGUGGAGCAUGUGGUUUAAUUCGACGCAACGCGAAGAACCUUACCUGGAUUUGACAUCCCGAGAAAUCCCUCGAAAGAGGGAUGUGCCCUUCGGGGAACUCGGUGACAGGUGCUGCAUGGCUGUCGUCAGCCCGUGUCGUGAGAUGUUGGGUUAAGUCCCGCAACGAGCGCAACCCUUGUCUUUAGUUACCAUCAUUCAGUUGGGGACUCUAAAGAUACUGCCCCGGUUAACGGGGAGGAAGGUGGGGAUGACGUCAAGUCCUCAUGGCCUUUAUGUCCAGGGCUACACACGUGCUACAAUGGGCUGUACAAAGGGUCGCGAUCCCGUGAGGGUGAGCCAAUCCCAAAAAGCAGUUCGUAGUUCGGAUUGGAGUCUGCAACUCGACUCCAUGAAGCUGGAAUCGCUAGUAAUCGUGGAUCAGCAUGCCACGGUGAAUACGUUCCCGGGCCUUGUACACACCGCCCGUCACACCAUGAGAGUUGGUUGUACCAGAAGUUGUUGGACCAACCCAAUCGGGGGGUAGGCACCUAAGGUAUGACUGAUGAUUGGGGUGAAGUCGUAACAAGGUA
rnacentral:rRNA from 1 species